AUUGAACGCUGGCGGCAGGCCUAACACAUGCAAGUCGAACGGUAACAGGAAGAAGCUUGCUUCUUUGCUGACGAGUGGCGGACGGGUGAGUAAUGUCAGGGAAACUGCCUGAUGGAGGGGGAUAACUACUGGAAACGGUAGCUAAUACCGCAUAACGUCGCAAGACCAAAGAGGGGGACCUUCGGGCCUCUUGCCAUCGGAUGUGCCCAGAUGGGAUUAGCUAGUAGGUGGGGUAACGGCUCACCUAGGCGACGAUCCCUAGCUGGUCUGAGAGGAUGACCAGCCACACUGGAACUGAGACACGGUCCAGACUCCUACGGGAGGCAGCAGUGGGGAAUAUUGCACAAUGGGCGCAAGCCUGAUGCAGCCAUGCCGCGUGUAUGAAGAAGGCCUUCGGGUUGUAAAGUACUUUCAGCGGGGAGGAAGGGAGUAAAGUUAAUACCUUUGCUCAUUGACGUUACCCGCAGAAGAAGCACCGGCUAACUCCGUG
rnacentral:rRNA from 1 species